UACGUAGGGGCCUAGCGUUGUCCGGAAUUAUUGGGCGUAAAGGGCUCGUAGGCGGCCAACUAAGUCAGACGUGAAAUCCCUCGGCUUAACCGGGGAACUGCAUCUGAUACUGGAUGGCUUGAGUUCGGGAGAGGGAUGCGGAAUUCCAGGUGUAGCGGUGAAAUGCGUAGAUAUCUGGAGGAACACCGGUGGCGAAGGCGGCAUCCUGGACCGACACUGACGCUGAGGCGCGAAAGCGUGGGGAGCGAACAGG
rnacentral:rRNA from 1 species